rnacentral:rRNA from 1 species
UUUGAUCAUGGCUCAGGACGAACGCUGGCGGCGUGCCUAACACAUGCAAGUCGAACGGAGCUCCGCCCUUCGGGACGGAACUUAGUGGCGAACGGGUGAGUAACGCGUGAAGAACCUGCCUUCCAGUGGGGGACAACAGUUGGAAACGACUGCUAAUACCGCAUGAUACUUUUGAGGGGCAUCCCUUGAAAGUCAAAGCUUUAAGUGCUGGAAGAUGGCUUCGCGUCUGAUUAGCUAGUUGGUGGGGUAACGGCCGACCAAGGCGACGAUCAGUAGCCGGUCUGAGAGGAUGAACGGCCACAUUGGGACUGAGAUACGGCCCAGACUCCUACGGGAGGCAGCAGUGGGGAAUAUUGGGCAAUGGGCGAAAGCCUGACCCAGCAACGCCGCGUGAAGGAAGAAGGCCUUCGGGUUGUAAACUUCUUUUACCAGGGACGAAGGACGUGACGGUACCUGGAGAAAAAGCAACGGCUAACUACGUGCCAGCAGCCGCGGUAAUACGUAGGUUGCAAGCGUUGUCCGGAUUUACUGGGUGUAAAGGGCGUGUAGGCGGAGGCGCAAGUUGGGAGUGAAAUCUAUGGGCUCAACCCAUAAACUGCUCUCAAAACUGUGUCCCUUGAGUAUCGGAGAGGCAAGCGGAAUUCCUGGUGUAGCGGUGAAAUGCGUAGAUAUUAGGAGGAACACCAGUGGCGAAGGCGGCUUGCUGGACGACAACUGACGCUGAGGCGCGAAAGCGUGGGGAGCAAACAGGAUUAGAUACCCUGGUAGUCCACGCUGUAAACGAUGAAUACUAGGUGUGGGAGGACUGACCCCUUCCGUGCCGCAGUUAACACAAUAAGUAUUCCACCUGGGGAGUACGACCGCAAGGUUGCAACUCAAAGGAAUUGACGGA